AUUGAACGCUGGCGGCAUGCCUUACACAUGCAAGUCGAACGGUAGGGGGAGCAAUCCCCUGAGAGUGGCGAACGGGUGAGUAAAGCAUCGGAACGUGCCCAGUUGUGGGGGAUAACUACUCGAAAGAGUGGCUAAUACCGCAUACGACCUGAGGGUGAAAGCGGGGGACCGAAAGGCCUCGCGCAGUUGGAGCGGCCGAUGUCAGAUUAGCUAGUUGGCGGGGUAAAGGCCCACCAAGGCGACGAUCUGUAGCUGGUCUGAGAGGACGACCAGCCACACUGGGACUGAGACACGGCCCAGACUCCUACGGGAGGCAGCAGUGGGGAAUUUUGGACAAUGGGCGCAAGCCUGAUCCAGCCAUGCCGCGUGCAGGAAGAAGGCCUUCGGGUUGUAAACUGCUUUUGUCAGGGAAGAAAUCUUCUGGGUUAAUACCUCGGGAGGAUGACGGUACCUGAAGAAUAAGCACCGGCUAACUACGUGCCAGCCGCCGCCGUAACAC
rnacentral:rRNA from 1 species